CCUACGGGUGGCAGCAGUGGGGAAUAUUGGACAAUGGGCGAAAGCCUGAUCCAGCCAUGCCGCGUGUGUCAAGAAGGCCUUCGGGUUGUAAAGCACUUUCAGUGGGGAAGAAAGCCUUGGGGCUAAUACCCUCGAGGAAGGACAUCACCCACAGAAGAAGCACCGGCUAACUCCGUGCCAGCAGCCGCGGUAAUACGGAGGGUGCGAGCGUUAAUCGGAAUUACUGGGCGUAAAGCGCGCGUAGGCGGUCUGAUAAGCCGGUUGUGAAAGCCCCGGGCUCAACCUGGGAACGGCAUCCGGAACUGUCAGGCUAGAGUGCAGGAGAGGAAGGUAGAAUUCCCGGUGUAGCGGUGAAAUGCGUAGAGAUCGGGAGGAAUACCAGUGGCGAAGGCGGCCUUCUGGACUGACACUGACGCUGAGGUGCGAAAGCGUGGGUAGCAAACAGGAUUAGAUACCCGAGUAGUC
rnacentral:rRNA from 1 species